rnacentral:rRNA from 1 species
CACGAAGGGGGCUAGCGUUGCUCGGAAUUACUGGGCGUAAAGGGCGCGUAGGCGGACAGUUUAGUCAGAGGUGAAAGCCCAGGGCUCAACCUUGGAACUGCCUUUGAUACUGACUGUCUUGAGUUCGGGAGAGGUGAGUGGAAUGCCGAGUGUAGAGGUGAAAUUCGUAGAUAUUCGGCGGAACACCAGUGGCGAAGGCGACUCACUGGCCCGAUACUGACGCUGAGGCGCGAAAGCGUGGGGAGCAAACGGG